AUCUGUGUCAAUUUUUCCUAAAAGAUGAUCAUGGGUUAUCAACUGAGCAAGCUAAAUGGGU
rnacentral:ribozyme from 1 species